AGUUCUCCUUUUCUAGCCCUACAACGUUGAAUAACCAAACACCUAUUUCUCUUAACCCCUCGCCAAGCCUGGCAGGGAAUACUCCCACCAUGACCCUGUCUAACCAAGACAUUCAAACCAUGGCUCUCCAGCUACAAACCACUGCUCACUGGUUGGGGCAGAUAAUGCAACAAAGGGGACUUAGCACCCCAGUAAACGCACUCCCAGUAGUGGAGGAACCCAGAACCGAUGAACCCCAACCUACCUCUGCCCGCCUCCAAACUAACAACCACGAUGCCGGAG
rnacentral:lncRNA from 1 species